ACCCUCUCAGAAUCAUGCCUGGAGAGUUUCAAGUAUUCUACUAGUCCUGGUUAUGGGAGGGAGAGUCAAGCAGAGGCAUACCCAUUCCAUUCUUAGCUUGGGUAGUGGCUAGCAAGUGGAAGGCAACCUGCUACAAGU